CCUACGGGAGGCAGCAGUGGGGAAUAUUGGGCAAUGGAGGAAACUCUGACCCAGCGACGCCGCGUGCGGGAUGAAGGCCUUCGGGUUGUAAACCGCUUUCAGUAGGGAAGAAGCGAAAGUGACGGUACCUACAAAAGAAGCACCGGCUAACUAUGUGCCAGCAGCCGCGGUAAUACAUAGGGUGCAAGCGUUGUCCGGAAUUAUUGGGCGUAAAGAGCUCGUAGGUCGUUUGUUACGUCGGAUGUGAAAACCUGAGGCUCAACCUCAGGCCUGCAUUCGAUACGGGCAAACUAGAGUUUGGUAGGGGAGACUGGAAUUCCUGGUGUAGCGGUGGAAUGCGCAGAUAUCAGGAGGAACACCAAUGGCGAAGGCAGGUCUCUGGGCCAAUACUGACACUGAGGAGCGAAAGUCUGGGGAGCGAACAGGAUUAGAUACCCUGGUAGUCCAGACCGUAACCGGUGGGCACUAGUUGUGGGAACCUUCCACGGUUUCUGCGACGCAGCUAACGCAUUAAGUGCCCCGCCUGGGGAGUACGAUCGCAAGAUUAAAACUCAAAUGAUAAGUAGCGUUGAGAGUUGCCGAACGGACGACGACGAGGGAGGAGG
rnacentral:rRNA from 1 species